AUACGGAGGGUGCAAGCGUUACUCGGAAUCACUGGGCGUAAAGCGCGCGCAGGCGGUCUUUUAAGUUGGAUGUGAAAGCCUACGGCUCAACCGUAGAACUGCAUCCAAAACUAUUAGACUAGAGUGUGGGAGAGGAAGAUGGAAUUAGUUGUGUAGGGGUAAAAUCCGUAGAGAUAACUAGGAAUACCAAAAGCGAAGGCAAUCUUCUGGAACACUACUGACGCUGAGGCGCGAAAUCGUGGGGAGCAAACAGGAUUAGAAACCCUAGUAGUCC
rnacentral:rRNA from 1 species